CCUACGGGAGGCAGCAGUGAGGAAUAUUGGUCAAUGGCCGGAAGGCUGAACCAGCCAUGCCGCAUGAAGGUCAGUGCCCUAUGGGCGUUAAACUUCUUGUGUGCGGGAGCACUAAUGGUCACGUGUGGCCAGACGAGAGUACCGUACGAAUAAGCAUCGGCUAACUCCGUUCCAGCAGCCGCGUUAAUACGGGGGAUGCAAGCGUUAUCCGGAUUUAUUGGGUUUAAAGGGUGCGUAGGCGGACAGUCAAGUCAACGGUAAAAAUGCGGUGCUCAACGCCGUACAGCCGUUGAAACUGGCAGUCUUGAGUUGGCGAGAGGUAUGCGGAAUGCGUGGUGUAGCGGUGAAAUGCGUAGAUAUCACGCAGAACUCCGAUUGCGAAGGCAGCAUACCGGCGCCCGACUGACGCUGAGGCACGAAAGCGUGGGUAUCGAACAGGAUUAGAUACCCGAGUAGUC
rnacentral:rRNA from 1 species